rnacentral:lncRNA from 1 species
GGACUAAAACAACCACAUGGUCACAGGACGCUGAGCCAAGAGCAGAGGCAGAGGGAGAGAUGAGCAGAGUCAAAGAGCUGCUGUAGGUGGUCAGCUCUGCAGAGAGUCUAGAUGGUCCAGUUUCAGCUUCAGGUGUCAGCUUAGAGUGGCUGUGCUUGGUGUUCAUGGGCAGGAGCAACCUCUCUGCUGAAGCCUGAUGAGACAGGAAUCUGGAGAUUCUUCACUAUGUCAGUCUCCCUGGGCACACCUUGAGAUGAAACACCAGGUAACUGAUGAGGUCAGGGUCCCACCAUGUCCAGUUUGGGAAGGCUCCUCCUUUUAUGGCUGUUAGGCGAGGGGGUUGCAUCUGGUAAGGUUGAUUAGCUGUGGUGUCUGGUGUUCCUGAUAUGAUUUGGGAAUUUAAUUUCUUAAUUUAAUUUGAUAAAUUCAUGGGUAUAAGUUUUUUAUCAAUUUGUGCCUUAUGGUGGUGCUAGGCAGAUGGUGGUUGUUUAAUUAUAUAAACAGGUGUAGAAUCGUCCCACCUUGGCACAUGUACUCAAAAUGGAGUAGCUUGUGGCAAAUUUUUGUUUAAUAAAAUGGAAUAACUCAGAUUUAGGCAUAGUCUGAAAACUGUUGUUCUAUAUAUGAUAGAGUCACUCACAGCACGUACAGCCUGAGAGCUACGGACCAUGGAGAUAUUCAGAAUAGGCACAGCCUAGGAACUGCUCUUCUUCAUAUCAUGGAAUCACUCAGGGCAGGCACAGCCUGGGAACUACUCUUCUUCAUAUCAUGGAGUCACCAAGGCAGGCACAGCUUGGGAACUGCUGUUCUACACACCAUGGGGUUACUCAGGGCAGGCACAGCCUGAGAACUGAUUUCUUUCUACACACCAUGGAGUCACUAGGGCAGGCACAGCCUGAGAGCUGCUGUUCUACACACCAUGGAAUCACUCAGGGCAGGCACAGCCUGGGAACUACUCUUCUUCAUAUCAUGGAGUCACCAAGGCAGGCACAGCUUGGGAAAUGCUGUUCUACACACCAUGGGGUCACUCAGAGUAGACGCAGCCUGGAAUUGCUGUUCUGUACACUAUGGAGUUACUCUGAGCAGGGCCUGGGCUUCUUCCACACCAUUUUGUUGUAUAUUAUUCUGCGCUUUCUUGUUUGUUUCAUGUACUCUGAUUCUAUAAGCAGCACUCCUGCAGGUGACCAGGCAGCAAGCACAACACUGUGCUAGAUGAUUUGAACAGAGGGCACUGACAUUUGGUGACAGGUGCAGCCUCCUGGGCCACAAGACCCAUCCUGACCUACCUGCUUCUGCCUCUAGAGCUCCUGAUUCCUGUGGUGUGUUUCCCUCAGCCUUGCAGAGCAGUGUGUGACCCUUUAGGUUUAGCCCGCUGUGGCUUUGCUGGGCCUGAACAGACGUGCAUUGGACAUUGAGCUUCCUUCUAGGCACAGUGCCACAUAGCAUAUGAGGGAAUGGAUACUGUGAUUUUUAUUCAACUAAAAGGAAACUGACAUUCAGGCUUCUGGGGUCUGGGGCCUGGUGAGGGGCUCCUCAGGUCUUUCCUCUGUCCACUUUUCACAGGGAGUCCAGCCACCGCCUGGUGAGAUUCUUUUUCCAAACAUGGGCAAGCUGAGGGCACUGGAAGGACACAACUUCUCCACCAUCCUCCUCCCUGAACCAGAACCCUGCAGGAGAGUCUGAACCCCUCUCCUUGCAUUGGGGUGUCCAAGGACUCCAUCAACUCCAAACAUCAAGGUAAAGAUGUUCUCCACCCCUGUGUGCUCACAGCUGAUGGCCCAGCAAGGGGCAUGCUGACCCUCACAAAGUCAGGCAAGAGGCUUGCUGGCCCAACAGCUGUGAGUCCCAACUCCACUGUGGCUCGACAAAAUGUGCACCCCCAAGACCCCAGUGUUCUGGAGAAGCUAUUUACAUGACUGUAAGCCCCAAGUGACCUUAAAUUCUAAAUAAAAGUUCCACAGGCAAUUUGUAUAAGAGGCUUGUUUUUAAAGAAAAUAAAUUACAUGACAGGAUUAUUGUAUGUAUUACAAGCUGGCCAGAGAACACUUUACUCAACAUUUAAAAAUCUUUAAAUAAGAGCUUUCAGUACAUAGAGCUUAUAUAACAAGAUCUCGCAAAAAUCUGUAAAACCUAAACACAGUUCUGAGAGCAACGAUCGUUCCAGAGCCGGCACUCAGCUCCCAGGGCAGCAAUGCCGGCACACAGGCUGCAGCCUUGCCUUGUGCUGCCUCAGGACAGUUCGGAGAACUUGCAAAGCUGUGCUGCCCUGGAAGGUGGCCAGGGCAUCUGCUAAGGCUCGGUGUCAACAAGGCCCCGCUUGUGCAUCUAAACUCAGCCAGAAUCGAAGCCUGGUGGCUCCACUCCUCGGCCUUUGCGUGGACCUUUUGUCUGGAGCAUGGCUCCACAUGUUCUUUCUGAAUCUCGUACUUUUACCCAUGGGAGAAAUAGGCAGCCAGAGGCUGAGGGUGCUGAUCUGAUCUUCAGAGGAGUCAGGGAGCCUCCACCUCAUUCUUACCCAGCUGGGGCUUGUUAAGUGCACAUACAUUCGAAACCACAGUCUUUGAUAAUCCAACCUGCCCUGGACACUCGGCUGAAAGCUUUUUAGAGGGGGUCGCAGAAUUUCAACUUGUUUUAUUUUUACGCAUUUCCCAAGCAGAUCAUCUUAAAGAUCAAGAGGACUUUGUCCCAUUCAGUGAAGAACUUACAGCAGUGGGACAAUGGUGGGAUGUCUGAGCACAGCUCCGAAGGGUGCCCGGGGAAGCAUGGUGAGGAGCACCAGGUCCAGGGAAAACACAGCAGGGCUCUGCACGCUGAAGCAGAGCCAACCUCAGGGGCAACUCCCCCUUCACUGGCCAGGAGGCCUCAAUAUGUUUGGAUGCAGGAGGCGCCAGGCAUGGAAAGUCCUCUGCCAGUGUGAGUCCAGCCAGGCAGCUGCUGGAGGGCACUGUGCAAGGACCCAUGCCCUCUCUGACACGAGGUGCACAGUCUAAGCAGGAGGUUCUCAGUGGGCUUAGCACAGCCUCAGUGGGAUGCACAGACAGGAGGCCAUGCUCACUGUCUCUGAGCUUGCUGAGGGGAGCCAUUCCUCUAUCCUCAAGACAUUAAUAUUCGGGCGGGCAUUCAGGGACAAGUGUAGGGAAGCCAUUCCCAGGCACCUACUCCAUCUGCGCACUGCACACUUUCUUUCUUUCUCUCCUGAAGCUGUUCUCUCACUUCCUGGAGCUACACGCAGAAAGGAAAGGUAAAUUAUUAUGGUUUGGAUGUGAAGUGUCCCCCAAAAGCUCCUAUGUGAGACAAUGCAAGAAAGUUCAGGGAAGAAAUGAUUGGAUGGUAAAAGUCUUAACCAAAUCAGCGACUCCAUCCCCUGAUGAGAUUAACUGAGUGGUGAUUGAAGUGGUGGGGUGUGGCUGGAGGAGGUGGAAUUAGGGAGUGGCUUUGGGUAUAUAUUUGCAUCUGGAGAGUGGAGUCUCUCUGCUUCCUGAUCACUGGAUUGUGGGCUGCUUCCCUCUGCCACAUACUCCUCCGUAACAUUCAGCCUCAUCUCGAGCCCUGAGAAAUGAAGCUGGCCUUCUACGGACUGAGACCUCUGAAACUGUGAGCCCUCAAAUAAACUCUUUCUUUUCUAUAGUUGUUCUGGUCAGAUCCUUUAGUCACAAUAGGGGAGAAGCUGACUAAAACAGAGAUCAUUUGUGCACGGGCCAUAGGCGUCCUAUAGGGCUUGGCUGGGCUCAGCAGCACUGGGUCGCUAGCAUGCAGUGGCAUGCAGCCCCAGGCAAGACAUUAAGGCCCCAGCAGAAGCCAGGCACACACCACCAGUGCCAGGCUACCUGUAUACCCUUGGCUUGUGUGUGCACACAUGCAUGUGUGUAUGAGUGUGUGCACAUUCAUUCGAGGGUAUGUGUGUAUGAGUAUGUGAGUGUAUGAGUGUGUCAUGUGAGACAGUGUGAAGGCAUGCACAAGUUAUUACAUGCAUAUAUGUGCAUGUGAGUGUAUGUUUAUGUGAGAGUGUGAAUGUGUGUGCAAGUGUGUAAUGUUCACACAAGAAUGUACAUGAGUGUGUGAGUGUGCAUGUGGGUAUGUGUUCAUGUGAGAGUGUGGAGAGUCUGUGUGUGUGUGUGUGUGUGUGUGUGUGGUCCACUUGCUGGUCUCCAGAAGUGUCCUCAGAAGCAGGCCUUUCCCUGGCUGUGUGUGGUGUAUGUGGCGUAAAUUCACUUCAGCUUCUGAGCAUGAACCCGCAUGGUCUUCAGGCCUCACCUUCAUGACUUUCCUUCACAUCUGGAAGAUUUCAAGUUUUUCUUUCUUGGAUGAGAUGUUCCUCGGGCCAGCUGGAGACUGUCUAUGUGGUGUUCUCCAGUUCCAUGGCUCCAUGACUUCUCCCCACGUGGAUAAGCCUUGUAUUUGCGUUGUCGCCUCCUUCACCUCUGCCUACCUGCCACCCUUUCAGCCACUCUCUUCCUGCUGCCUCUGCCUCAGGAACCCCCAUGGCUGGGUCCCCUUGGCUCUGGAGUAACUGAAGCUGAGCUCUGGGUCCAGGUGAUCUGGUCCUGGCUCUUUCUCCACCAGGCAUCCAAAGUAGAGUUCAAGCAAGUAGUUUCAUUUAUUUGGUCUUAGAUUUCUUGAGAGCUUGUUUGGAGGUUCUAGCAGGGGAGCGCAGCUACUCGUAUACCCUUGACCGAAGAACGGUCCUCCUCUAUUGGGGAAGGUCGUCCUCUUCGACCGAGCGCGCAGCUUCGGGAAGGACGCACAUGGAGCGGUGAGGGAGGAAGGGGACACCCGCCUAGCCAGCCAGAUCAGCCGAAUCAACCCUGGCGAUCAAUGGGGUGACAGAUGUCGCAGCCAGAUCGCCCUCACAUCCAGGUCUUAGAUUUCUUAACAAUUUUAUUUUUCUGAUUUAUAAUUAUAGAAUUGCUUAAAAAUCAAACAAAAUAAGGUAUCUCGAUGUGUCUCACAACCCCUAAAGCCCAAUAAAUGCACAAUGUCUUGCUAUUAAAAUAAAACCCAAUAUUUUGCUACUGGGAAGAACGCAGAAUGGCCUGCCAUUAUUACGUAAUUACAAAAUCUCCCACUGCUUGCUUCUUCCUUGGUUGCUACCAGAUUUUGAGUCAAUUCUGUUUUUUUUUUAUUUUUCAAAAACUCUUGAACAUGUGGACCUGCUGAUUUUGAAUCCAUUGCUGAUCUUUGGCUCUCAGAAUACUUCAUCCUAACAAUUAAAACAUAGCAAAAUGUUGCACUUGUGUCCAUAAGUGAACUGUCAUGCAAAGCAUGCUUAUUUCUGAGGCUGUUGGUUCUCCCAGUGGGUCCAUCUCAGCCUUGUUCUCUUAAACAUUUGGUGUCCUCUUGGUGGCUGAGUUGGCAGUGAUAUAGUAAUAGAGGAUAGAGUCUGCCUGUGAGUUCAAAGCUUCUCUCAAGGUUCUGUCUGGGGGUUGAUUUCCCAGAUACGGUGAGUGAUGUAUUUGUCCUGGAUGGCUCGCUCCUGUGGAGCAGGGCUUUCCUCCUCAGGGGAGGAGGGGACUUGACUGUGAGUGUGGAACUCCACUGCAGGCUGGGGUGGCUAAUGGGGACAGGUGAGGUAGGACUGUUCAAGAGGCAGGCAGGAAUGCCGGCUUGGGGUCAAGUGCUCCCACACUGCCUGCCCUUGCAUCCCUGUGCCAGGGAGGCCCCUUCCUCUGCAGCAUUAGUUACAAGUCACCUUCCAGCCCUGCUUGCCACUCUCCCACCUGCUGAUGGCCAGACCACAUGGUGUGGUUCUCGGGAGAGGAGGGAGAUGCCAUUGGUCUGCCAUGUUUGACUUGGGAAGAUUUCACCUAAAAAUGUCAAAUUUGGGAGAGGGUUUAAAAAUAUCCAGUAACCUAAUCAUUGGGGUUUUAUUUAUCUAUUAUUUUAUUUAUUAAUUAUUUACCAGUGCAUACUGGGGAUGGAACCCAGGGUCUCAUGCCUGGUAGGCAAGUGCUCUACUACUUAGGUGCCCCUAUUGCCCCAUCUGAAUAUCUUAAGGUUCCAGACUCUUGAAAGAGGUGAUAGAGGCAUAAUUAAUUAUUUUGCUUCUGCUUUGUUUAAACAUAUUAUGCCGAGUUUUUGUGGUAAUAGUCACACUCAAAAAGUACAGAUCAGAUUUUGUGAUGGGUUUUUUGAAGAAACAUAUUAAUUACUCUUCAAUAUCUCAAGGUUGUGACCACAUUUUAUUUGAGAUAAAAUGCAUUGUUUCUCUACAUAAAUUAAGAUAUUGCACUGUGAAAACCAAUUUAUUAUUUGGGGGUUCUUAUAUCUUUGUUGGUAUUCUUUAACUUCUUAUUCAAGAAAAAAAAAUGACUUGACAUUUGACCUUCUACUCCUGUUCCGCACCUCACUGGGUCUGGGAGGAAUGGGCUCCUUUGUUACAGAAAGGAAGGGAGAAAGUCGCAGGUUCUGCUGGGGCCCUGUUUUGGGAAGAACAAAGAGGGUCACAAGUUUUUUGGUUUUUUUUGUGUGUGUGGUCAGAAUUUUUAUUCUAUACACAAGCUUCUCUCUGGUACUGAGCAUCCCUCCUGCUGUGGGUUCCUCUGCAAAGGCUGACUAAUUAUGACUGCCAGUGUCCAGGGCUAGUGCGCACCUUGUCUCUCAUCCCUCCCUGCUGUGUUGUACAUGUGAUUCCAGAGGUGCUGUGACGCAGAGAAAAGCCCACAUAAAUACAAUCACCCGAUGUCAGACAGAGGUGUCAAAACAAACUUGGAGAAAAGAUAGCCUUAAACAAAAGGUGCUGGGAAAACUGGAAAUCCACAAGAAGAAGAAUGGAAGUUGACUUCUACCUCUCACCCUGCACAAAAGUCAACUCAAAGUGGAUCAAAGACCUCAGAAUUAGACUAGAAACUCUGUACCUGCUAGAAGAAAACUUAGGCCCAAUACUGCAUCAGGUUGGCACAGGAAUUGACUUCCUUAACAAGAUUCCAAAGUACAAGGAAUAAAACCAGAAAUCAGUAAGUGGGAAGGCAUCAAAUUAAAAAGCUUCCAAACAGCAAAAGAAUCAAGUAAGAGCUUGAAGAGAGAGCCAGCAAUAUGGGAGGAGAUCUUUGCCACCUGCUCCUCGGAUAGGGCAUUAGUAUCUAGAAUAUAUGAAGCCUGACAGCAGCAGCAGCAGCAACAAAAACCAAAUAACCCCAUCAGUACGUGGGCGAAAGAACUAAACAGACAUUUCUUAAAAGGAGAAAAACAAUUGGACAACAAAUAUAUGAAAAAAAAAUGUUCAGCAUCUCUAGCAAUCUGGGGGCUUGUGAAAAUAAGCGCAGCUGUUCUUUCCUGGUCACCCUGGCCCCAGCGGCUGCCACCUGAGCUUCCCACAGUCGCCUGGCGCCCUCUGGUGGUAUGAAUUCCACACUGCAACGCCUCCGCCACGAAGUCCCUGUGUGCGCUCCAUCUCCAAAUCCCCUUCCAGAUAGGUAGAUUCUCAGGCAAAGGAAGAUUACUGUUCAGAGAUUUUAUGCCUGUGAAGUUCUCUGAGCCAACAGCUUUCAAAUGAGUUGAGGAAAUUCCAAGGAACUUCAGAUCCUAUAAAUGUCCUAUUUGAAUUUAGUUAUAGUAAGGACUGUGGCUUCUUGUUCUUGGGCACGAGUUUUAAUACAUGUCACAAUUGAUAAACUGCACUUGCUGUGAUGAAGUCUCCUCUGUUCUUCUGAAGAGGAUCACUAUAUUAGUAAUGAGCUUUCUUUUGGUGUCUCAGGAUCCAGAACAGCCAAGGCUCAGCCAUUAGCUGCUCUGUGGCAUUCAGAUGAAGGGAGGCCUUGCUUCCUUCUCUUUGCAAGGCCUCUUGUCUCUGCAGAGCUCCCUCAGGUUAAGAUGUGGAAAAUGCCCCUCCACUGAGGGACAUCUCUGGGGCUGGUAUGGCCAGCCCAUUGUCCCUCCUGGCUCCCUCCUGCCAUGGCUGCCAAGUGCUGGUUCUUCACAAUGAGGGGGAUGGGGCUGUUAGUCCAGCUUAACCCCAUAGAUAAUUCUAGAUCUCCCUGGAAAAGAUCUUGUUGUAAGUUGUCAAGGCAAAUGCUUUCUUUUCCCCUGUGGCCCUUAAAGACUGUAGUGAGUUUGUGUGUGCUGCGCGUGUGCUUGUGCAUGUGCCUAUGUUAGAUUCCUGAUCUACAGAAACCUGCCUUGGCCUUCAUAAAUGAAGAACAAAUGGGGAAGGUAGUGCUUUCUUCUUCCCUGGCAUAUCCAGAGUGCACAUCAUAAAUAUGUGAGCUGAUUAUUUCUCUAGUAACUCAGCCUGCAACACGCAGACUUAAAAGUCAUAACAAUGCAUUUAAGGUCAUGCCAGGCAAGUGCAUUGUAAAUGUGUCAUCAAUGAAAUAAUGACACGGACCACCCAUACCUGUCUCCCUGCAUGCCAUGAGAGGAGCUCUAUGUACACAUUGUCCCUCUGUGCCCCUGAACAGAACACAGUUCACAGUGGGGAAUGACUCAUGCCUGCAGCCCCCUCAUGGACACUCACAGGAUGCACCCUGCUGAUAGGCACACUGCGGGUGCAGUCGGAGGUGAACAGGCUUCUGCUCAGGCCUGUGCAUCUGGGUAUCACCAUCCAGUUGGCCACAAAAUUGUGCUUCUUUUCUGUCUGAUGUGUUUAUAUUAAGGUCAGUGUUAGAUGUUUGUAGUCAUUUAGUUUUAGGACAUAACAAACUUAUCUAGAAUUUUCCAAAAGAAAUAGCAGGAAAUUUUAAAGGACAUCUUGAGAUACAAGUCAGGAUGUGCCCUUUGGAACUGCCCACCUGCACUCCUCAGGGUAUACCAGCAGCAAAGUAUUAAGGAAAAUGGGGAAGAGAAGUGAAAGCAGCUACAUGGAACUGCAGCCAUCACUCAUUUGGUUAUUUCCUGUAAAACAACUAUAGCAUAUAAAUUGGUCACUUAUGUUUUAUAAUGUUUCUUAUAAACUUUAAUUUACCAAAGAAGAAAAGGUUUUGCUGUUAAGACAGCUUUAGAGGUAGACAUAGCCUAGCUCUUCUGUGGCCAUAGGUAGCACCUUGAGGCUCCUGAAGACUGCGGAUGCAUCCAGUUGCAUGUGAGCACAGCUGAAUGUCACUCAUGGUCCAGAAUGCCUCUGGACAAUGCUCGCUGAAUUAUUGAGUCCAUUUUUUAUUUUUUAUUUUUUUUUAUUUUUUUUAUUUUUUGAGUCCAUUUUUUAAACAGGCACAUACUAGUCCCAAAGUAUCUCAGCCCAUGGAAGAUGGGAAGCGAGGUCUUGCAGGCGAGGACCUGGAUUCUAACUCUCUGAGGUGGAUUAUAACUCUCCCCUCUUGGCUCAUUAGAAGUAGAGUGGCCUCCCUGCUGCAGGACUUCAGCAGGAGCCCCCUGCCAUUGCAGCAGGCAUCCUAGUUGGAUUCCAAAUGUGUUUGGAGCAGAGGGUGAAGACCAUCCUAUGUCACAAAACCUUUGCUUUUCAAGGAAAAACACAGAUUGAGUCCAGAAUUAGUCAUACUGCUGAAAUUUUAAGUGGCUCUGGAGAAUGCUCAACUCUGAGAGGUCCAAGGAGCUCAGGUGGGACCUGCAGUCUUGUGCUCUGCUGGCUGAACUGAGCCCCAGUGAAGCACCAGGGCAUGCAGGAAGGCGGAUAGGGACCACAUAACCAUUUGCACCACUGCUCAGUUGUAAGGGAUGAGAACUUGUUAUUUAAGUAACAUUCUGAAAUGAGCCUGAGAGAGCUGAUAAAUCCUGCAUAUCUAGAGCAUUCCUCCAUCCCCAUUCAGGAAGCACAUGAUAAAGAAAGGUAAAUGGAAGGUGUUUUCUCUUAUUCGCUGAACUUUGGUAGGGCUAGCUUGCACAUUCUAUGGGCUAGAGUCUGCACGACAUCAUGGGUCCACCAUCACAUUGUGAUCUCACAGAGCAGUGCCACUGCACAAAAGCCCCAGUCUCCAGCCCCCUCUCUCCCUGGCAACCACAGAUUUGUCACUUUCAAAACUUUUAUAGUUGGAACCACACUAUGUGUGACCUCUUCAGACUGGUUCUUUCACUGAACAUAUACAUUUGGUUUCCUUGUGUCUUGAUGGCUCACUUCUUAAUUGCUGAAUAAUACUCCACUAUCUGGAGGUAUCAGAGUUGUCUAUUCCACUGCUGAAGCACAUCUUGGUUGCCUUCAGUUUGGGGCAAUUACGACUAACCAUUCCUGAAAGGAUCUGCCGUGUGUUGAAUGGAAGCAUGUCCACAUUGACAAUAAGUUGCAAUCCCCACAGGAUUGGUAUGGGUUAUGAUGGGUCUUCUCAAGCCUGAAUGAGCAUCAGACUGGCUCUGACUCUUGCUGGGUGGGACAUUAAAAAUUUAAUGAAGAAAUUCUUUUCUGAGAUUAUAACAAGGACUAAAAAUAUCUAAUUCUCAUUUCAGCAAAGAGGAUAUACUGUGACCCUUCAGUCAGUCCCUCCUUCAACUCAAAGGGUAUUUAUCAAGCACUGCUCUUUGGAACUUAAAGAGGAGGCACUACUUCUGCAUCCAGAGAAAUACCUUCCGAUGUCCAAAAGGGUUUCUGGUUUGGAACCCACAUCAAUGUUUCUGAUGCCUAAAGAGACAGCCCAUGUGGAAUUAAGGAAAUAGCUGCUUUGAAUUGAUUCUAAGAAUCAUCCUUGGAACUGGGGUGCACACCAACGUGAAAUAAUGAAGGGCCACAGUACUUAGCCAACUUUAGGAGGGCAUCGCCUUUAGAUGACACACUGCAUACCACCCUGCAUGGCUCUAGGCACCUGCAACCUACCACAUUCAGGUCCAAGUAAAUGGCUUUUCUUAAAGUUGGGAAAUAUUCCGGUGUUAGAUCUCCGAACUGCAAAUUUUUGUUCUACAGUUGGAUGGCUUCUAUCCAGACACAGAAGUUUUCCUGGUACUAAGACCUGCAAGAGGCUUCACAUGCAGUUUCCAUACAGCAAAUCCCAUAAAGCCAGCAUCAGCAGAGGGCGUGCACAAGUGCUACACAGCUUUUUAUUUCCACAAGAUGCAGAAUGUGAAGAUCAGUAACUGGAGCGGGAGUUUCCUUAGAACUUGCUCAAGGUCAGCAAGUUACCAUGUCUCAUCUGAACCUUCAUAGGAGGACAGCACAGCCUGUGAGUUCAGGAUGAAUGUCCCUCCAGUGAAUUGAGCUGCCUUCCUCCAGCACAAGCCUGCUGGUUAGAUUUUUACCCUCAGGAGCCACAGAUGAUGUGUGCAUGUGACUUCCCCACAUGGCUACAAUUUGCCUCAGAUGGCUGUAUGUCCCCACCCUAUGGAGAAGGGUCAUUGCUCUAUGACUCUAAAAAGCCAGCCAUCUAGUGAUGUUGCCAAGCAUCAAUUUCAGUGGGGAAACAAUGAAACCAUAUUUCUGUCAUGGAAGUAGAAGCUUGAUUUGUUGAUAUGUAGCUCUUCUCAAAUUUACUGUACUAUUCAACAUCAUCAGUCAUAUUGGGGGGGGCAAUGCAUUAAAAGUGAAAAAUCAUUGUUCUAAAAUGCAUGAAAAUAUGGAAUAGGAAAUUUCAUCACAUCUGUAUAACCAGCAGGAUGAGGAUUCCCAAGGCAGCAAAAUCUACAGGAAAAACAGUGGUUUCCAAAUUUUCUUUGCAUUUAUCAUGGUGAAAAAAGAAAACCUAGUUUAAUGUCCUUUCACAAAUCAAAUUCUGAUUUGCUUCCUUUACUGUCCAAAGACCAUAACUAACAAAACACAUAAGAGCAUUUGAACCCCCAUCCAAUUUGUUAAAUAUUUUGGAAAGCCAAGGACUAAGUAAAGUAGCAGAUAUGUGGCCAGAGGAAUUUCAUUUUCAGAAUUCGUAUCCCACAAAUACGUAAA